AUGGCCAAGGCAAACCCUUCAUAUUACCAAACCACCGCUGCGGUUAGCGCACCGGUCCAGUACCAGGAGCAUCUCUUCCACCUGUUUGUGCAGCAGCAGCUCGAAGCAACAAAUGGUGCUAACCAGCUCAUUACAGUGAACCCAAAGCUUCCCCAAGGGUUCGGUGUCACCGUUGCUACUGACUGGGACAUCCGUGAUGGUCCUGAAAUCACGGCAAAAGUUGUUGCGCGUGCACAAGGCCUGCAUCAAGGGUCCGGCAAGAGCAGCGGAGCCUGGUUUAUGUCGUUCAACACAGUGUUCACCGAUGAGAGGUUUAAGGGGUCCUCCCUCAGUGUGCAAGGACAUUUGGUUUCCGACGAAGGCGAAUGGGUAGUUACGGGUGGAACUGGCGAGUUCGCUUUUGCACAAGGUGUUGUCACCUACAAGAAAAUCAAGGAAUUGGCAGGUGGAAACAUCAGAGAGCUUCGUUUCCGUGUUGUGUGCUUCAACUUCCCAAAGCCGAACACCCUGACAAAGGUUGGGCCGUGGGGUGGGAAUGGAGGGACACCAUUUGAAAUCCCACAGGCAGAGCUACCUCAGCGUCUAGAAAGUGUCACAAUUCAGAGUGCCGAAGUUAUUGAUUCCAUUGCCUUCACCUACAUCGGCCUAGACGGCGCAAGGCGGACAGUCGGUCCAUUUGGUGGCGGCGGCGGGACUAAGCAGCCGAUCCUGCAGCUUGGUCCUUCGGAGAGCCUGAAGGAAAUAUUUGGCACAACCGGUAACUUUCUAGGAUUGAAUAUUGUCACAUCACUUUCCAUUGUCACCAAUGUUAAGACAUAUGGACCAUUCGGAAAACAAUCCGCGGGUAAUACCCCUUUCCGUACCACUGCGCCAGACCGUCACAGCAUUGUGGGCUUCUUCGGGCGGGCUGGCCAAUUUGUUGACCAGCUUGGAGCUUAUGUGCGCCCAACCCCAAAUUAG
rnacentral:rRNA from 1 species